rnacentral:misc_RNA from 1 species
AUUUUCUAGACUUAUAAUUCUGAUUUAAUUUUGUUGACGAUUAUGUAUUAUUUCUAGCUAUUAGGUUUAAUUCUAUAUUGACAAAGAAAAGAGCGUGCCGCUUCCUCUGUGUUGUGAAAACCGAGAGCCAUCAAGUCCCUGGCUGGGAAGGGUGCAUCCCUUCUUUUAUCCACUUUUUAACCUCUCUUGGGGCCAAAAAAGGUUGAGGUG